GAGUUUGAUCGUGGCUCAGAACAAACGCUGGCGGCGUGCCUAAUACAUGCAAGUCGAACGAGGAAAGCUUUCGGGUGAGUACUAGUGGCGCACGGGUGAGGAAUAUAUGGGUAAUCUGCCCUCGAGUCGGGGAUAACCAGUCGAAAGAUUGGCUAAUACCGGAUAAGACCACAGGAUCUGCGGAUCUAGGGGUUAAAGGUUUUCGCUUGAGGAUGAGCCCAUAUGGGAUUAGCUAGUUGGUAGGUAAUGGCCUACCAAGGCUACGAUCCCUAACUGGUCUUAGAGGAUGAUCAGUCACACUGGAACUGAGACA
rnacentral:rRNA from 1 species